rnacentral:misc_RNA from 1 species
GACAGAAUAGAGAUUGAGAGCAGAGAAAAUGAUCCUCCGUCUCCGAGAAAAAAGGGUUUUGUUUUGGAAAGCCACAUCGAGGUGGGUUUUAGCAAAUUGCGGACUAGAUAUUAUAGAGCGCCAUGAUUUGGAUACACACCUGAAUCUGCACAGAGAUUUGACGGGUAAUCUAAGGAGAACCUCUAGAAUGAUUUCUUGAGGGAGGGUUGGGACCGUAGCUUCUAGUUCUCCUUCACAAGACAGAUUCCUUGUGUGCUUGUUGCUUCCCACCAUCACUAUCGAUCAAUAUUCGCAACAGGAAAGAUUAUGAAGGUUUUGGCACUAAUUUUCGUUUUCGCCCCAUAAAAUUUGAUCGGAAGCGAGGCGUUUUCG